CGGGACGGGUGAGUAACGCGUGGAUAACCUGCCUCACACUGGGGGAUAACAGUUAGAAAUGACUGCUAAUACCGCAUAAGCGCACAGUACCGCAUGGUACAGUGUGAAAAACUCCGGUGGUGUGAGAUGGAUCCGCGUCUGAUUAGCCAGUUGGCGGGGUAACGGCCCACCAAAGCGACGACCAGUAGCCGACCUGAGAGGGUGACCGGCCACAUUGGGACUGAGACACGGCCCAA
rnacentral:rRNA from 1 species